rnacentral:rRNA from 1 species
AUUGAACGCUGGCGGCAUGCCUUACACAUGCAAGUCGAACGGUAACAGGUCUUCGGAUGCUGACGAGUGGCGAACGGGUGAGUAAUACAUCGGAACGUGCCUAGUAGUGGGGGAUAACUACUCGAAAGAGUGGCUAAUACCGCAUGAGAUCUACGGAUGAAAGCAGGGGAUCGCAAGACCUUGUGCUACUAGAGCGGCCGAUGGCAGAUUAGGUAGUUGGUGGGAUAAAAGCUUACCAAGCCGACGAUCUGUAGCUGGUCUGAGAGGACGAUCAGCCGCACUGGGACGGAGACACGGCCCAGACUCCUACGGGAGGCAGCAGUGGGGAAUUUUGGACAAUGGGCGCAAGCCUGAUCCAGCAAUGCCGCGUGCAGGAUGAAGGCCUUCGGGUUGUAAACUGCUUUUGUACGGAACGAAAAGCCCUGGGUUAAUACCCUGGGGUCAUGACGGUACCGUAAGAAUAAGCACCGGCUAACUACGUGCCAGCAGCCGCCGUAACAC